rnacentral:misc_RNA from 1 species
UCCUAGCCGCGAUUGCAGCAAUUGUCUGAGCUCAUUUCUUUAGUUUCGGCGCGGCUUUGCCGCGCCGAAACUAAAGAAAUAGCGAGUGCGGAAAGCUCGAUAAAGC